rnacentral:rRNA from 1 species
AGAGUUUGAUCCUGGCUCAGGAUGAACGCUGGCGGCGUGCCUAAUACAUGCAAGUCGAACGCUUUGUGGUCCAACUGAUUUGAAGAGCUUGCUCAGAUAUGACGAUGGACAUUGCAAAGAGUGGCGAACGGGUGAGUAACACGUGGGAAACCUACCUCUUAGCAGGGGAUAACACUUGGAAACAAGUGCUAAUACCGUAUAACACUAAUAACCGCAUGGUUAUUAGUUAAAAGAUGGUUUUGCUAUCACUAAGAGAUGGUCCCGCGGUGUAUUAGCUAGUUGGUAAGGUAAUGGCUUACCAAGGGCCAUGAUAAACUAGCCGAGUUGAAAAACUGAUCGGCCACAAUGGGACUGAGACACGGCCCAUACCUCUACGGGAGGCAGCAGUAGGGAAUCUUCCACAAUGGACGAAAGUCUGAUGGAGCAACGCCCGCGUGUGUGAUGAAGGGUUUCGGCUCGUAAAACACUGUUGUAAGAGAAGAAUGACAUUGAGAGUAACUGUUUCAGUGUGUGACGGUAUCUUACCAGAAAGGAACGGCUAAAUACGUGCCAGCAGCCGCGGUAAUACGUAUGUUCCAAGCGUUAUCCGGAUUUAUUGGGCGUAAAGCGAGCGCAGACGGUUAUUUAAGUCCGAAGUGAAAGCCUACAGCUUAACCUGUGGAAGUGCUUUGGAACUGGAUAACUUGAGUGCAGUAGAGGAGAGUGGAACUCCAUGUGUAGCGGUGAAAUGCGUAGAUAUAUGGA